GAUGAAGAACGUAGCGAAAUGCGAUAAGUAAUGCGAAUUGCAGAAUUCAGUGAGUCAUCGAAUCUUUGAACGCACAUUGCGCCCUGUGGUAUUCCGCAGGGCAUGCCUGUUCGAGCGUCAUUUCAACCCUCAAGCCCCGCUUGGUGUUGGGCCCCGCCCGCUGUGGCCGGCCCUAAAGACAGUGGCGGCGCCGCCUGGCCCUCAGCGUAGUACAUCUCUCGCUCCAGGGUCCGGUGGCCGCCUGCCAGAACCCCCCCAACUCUGUGGUUGACCUCGGAUCAGGUAGGGAUACCCGCUGAACUUAAGCAUAUCAAUAAGCGGAGGA
rnacentral:misc_RNA from 1 species